GUUUUAAUAGUUUAAAUAAAAUUUUGGUCUUGUAAACCAAAGAUGUGUCUUUCUCUUAAAACU
rnacentral:tRNA from 1 species